rnacentral:rRNA from 1 species
GUGGGAAUAUUGCAGCAAUGGCGCAAGCCUGAUGCAGCCAUGCCGCGUGCAUGAAGAAGGCCUUCGGGUUGUAAAGUACUUUCAGCGAGGAGGAAGGCGUUGUGGUUAAUAACCGCAGCGAUUGACGUUACUCGCAGAAGAAGCACCGGCUAACUCCGUGCCAGCAGCCGCGGUAAUACGGAGGGUGCAAGCGUUAAUCGGAAUUACUGGGCGUAAAGCGCACGCAGGCGGUCUGUCAAGUCGGAUGUGAAAUCCCCCGGGCUCAACCUGGGAACUGCAUCCGAAACUGGCAGGCUAGAGUCUUGUAGA